ensembl:lncRNA
AUGAGGAGACAAAAAAAAAAAAAAAAAAAAAAAAAAUUAAAUAAAAAAAAAGUAAUAAAACUGUUUAUAAGGAAUAAAAUUAUUACUCUUAAGUAUUUGAUAAAAUAUUUAUGUAAUUUAAAUUUAUAUGUAAAUUUUGAUAUAGUAAAAUAUGAGUUCAAAAAUUCAGUUUUUGAAAAUUGUUAUAAUGUUACAAAUAAAAAUAAUAACAUAAAAACAUGUAGUAUAAAUUGGAUUAGUAAUAACAAGGAUUGGAGUAAGAAUAAUAAUAAUAACAAUAAUAAUAAUAAUAUUAAUAAUGCCAAUAAUAAUAAUAAUAAUAACAAUAAUAAUAAUAAUAUUAAUAAUGCCAAUAAUAAUAAUAAUAUUAAUAAUGCCAAUAAUAAUAAUAAUANNNNNNNNNNUGCCAAUAAUAAUAAUAAUAUUAAUAAUGCCAAUAAUAAUAAUAAUAAUAUUAAUAAUAAUAAGAGGGAAGGAAAAGAAAAUAAAAAUUAUACUAAUUUAUAUGAUAUAUUGUUUGAAAAUUCUAUAAAAACUUUUUAUAAUAAUAUAAUCCAUUUUUUAUUUGAUAUACUAAACAAUUUAGAAGGUUUGGAAAAUUACGGGGUAUAUACCUCAAUGCAGGAUAAGUGUGAUCAACUUGGACGAAGUAAAAGUAAUAACUUUUGUGACACAAGUAACAGUAUAUGCUUUUUUUUGAAUAACAAUCAAGUAGUCUUACAAAACGGAAUACCUUAUGUUAGAAAAUUGUUAAGAAAAAUGACAAAAAAAUAUGUUUGUAAUAAAAAAUGGAAUUGGCUAUUUACAUUUGACAAAUCGGUAAGCAACACACGAACUAUGUCGAAAAUGGGACAUACAAGAGAUAGCAAUAAAAUAAAAAGGGAUGGCAAUAAAACCGAAAGGGAUGGAAAUAACACCAAAAGGGAUGGAAAUAAAACCGAACAAAAUGGCAUAACUAGUACAUAUUCACUAGUGAAAGAAAUAGAAUGUAAGACAUUAUCUUGUGAUAGUAGUAUAAAUAGCCACACGAAUUUUAAUAAUUCUAAAUUGAAUACAUUAUGGAAUACAGAUAAAACUGAAAAAAUAAUUACUGUAUUAAUUAAAACGAUUUUUAAUGUUUUAUUAAAAUAUACUACCGAUAUGAUAUAUAUGUUUAACCCUGUCGUAAAAAUAAUUGUAACAUGUUUACAAACAUUAAUAAAUCAUGUAAAAAAAUAUAAUAAACAUAUAACUAUAUUUUCAUUUUAUUUGAAUAAAUUUAUAAAAAAAAUAUAUUAUAGAACUAUAAAACUACAUUUUUAUAAUUUAUGUUUUGUUAUUAAUAACAAUUUAGAAAACUUUUUUUUUAUUAUCUGUAAUAAUAACGAAAUCGAUUCCAAUUUUAUAGAAAAUAAAAAUAACAUUGGUCAUAACAUAUUGUUAAGUGUUUGUUUAACUAUUAUAGAUUUUGAAGCAUUUUAUAAACAUGUUCAGAUAGAACAAGAUUUUUUUUUUAAUAAUCUGAUUCAUUUUUUGUUUAUUUAUUUUGCUUAUUUGACAAAGUUUGUUAAAUCGAUGGUAAGGAAUUUUGUUUGUGUGUAUGAGGAUGGUUUAUCUAGUAGGAACAAUGAAAAUGAUAAACUUGAAGACGUGAUAAAACAUGAUAAGAAAGACUCAUAUAAAAACGAAUAUGAUGAAUGUUGGGAUUCUCAAAAAAAAGAAAUAUUUAAAUAUAAAAACAUUUAUGUGACAACAUUUUGUGAAGAUAGACAAAUAAAAACAAGAACAGAUAAAAAAAAAAAAUAUAUAAGCAAGUCGGGUAUGUUAUUAAAAUAUUUGUAUAGUACUAAGAACAUACAUGAUUUGCCAAAUGGGUUAAUAAAACAAAACUUAAUUAAUACAAAAAAGUUUAUUGGCAUGAACUAUAAACAGUUUUUUAAUAAAAUAAUAGUCGAACAUGAUUCCAAAAAAAAAACAAAAAUAUAUUUCUUAUUAGCACUUAUAUCUAUUUAUGAACAUUUCAAAAAAGAAAGUAUUACCAAAAUUUUUACUAUUUUUGUUGAUAUAUAUAAGGAUGCCAAAUGGAUAUUAAAUGAAAAAAAAAAAAUAUGUUUACAUAGGAAAUUGGAAAGUUUUUUAUAUAUACAUAAGCGGUCGUAUAAUAAAGUAAUCGGAAAAAAAAAAAAAAGUAAGAAAAUGUUUGUCACAGGGUUUGGUAGUAACACGUUAAGUGCUGCGACGGACGAUAUGGCAUGCGAAGUGACAAGCGACAUAACAAGUGACGUGACAAGCGACAUAACAAGUGACGUGACAUGCGACAUAUCAAGUGACGUGACAUGCGACAUAUCAAGUGAAAUGACAAGAGGCAUAUCAAGUGACGUAACAAUCGGUACCCCAAACGAUGUAACAAUCGGUAUCCC